GGGGUUCAUACAGGUGUAGAAGGGUGUAACAUGGCGUCACAGGGGAGUGGGCGGGGCUACUGGGGUUCAUACAGGUGUAGAAGGGUGUAACAUGGCGUCACAGGGGAGUGGGCGGGGCUACAGGGCUUCAUACAGGUGUAGAAGGGUGUAACAUGGCGUCACUGGGGAGUGGGCGGGGCUAUGGGGCUUCAUACAGGUGUAGAAGGGUGUAACAUGGCGUCACAGGGGAGUGGGCGGGGCUACUGGGGUUCAUACAGGUGUAGAAGGGUGUAACAUGGCGUCACUGGGGAGUGGGCGGGGCUACAGGGCUUCAUACAGGUGUAGAAGGGUGUAACAUGGCGUCACAGGGGAGUGGGCGGGGCUACUGGGGUUCAUACAGGUGUAGAAGGGUGUAACAUGGCGUCACUGGGGAGUGGGCGGGGCUAUGGGGCUUCAUACAGGUGUAGAAGGGUGUAACAUGGCGUCACAGGGGAGUGGGCGGGGCUACAGGGGUUCAUACAGGUGUAGAAGGGUGUAACAUGGCGUCACAGGGGAGUGGGCGGGGCUAUGGGGCUUCAUACAGGUGUAGAAGGGUGUAACAUGGCGUCACUGGGGAGUGGGCGGGGCUAUGGGGCUUCAUACAGGUGUAGAAGGGUGUAACAUGGCGUCACAGGGGAGUGGGCGGGGCUACUGGGCUUCAUACAGGUGUAGAAGGGUGUAACAUGGCGUCACAGGGGAGUGGGCGGGGCUACUGGGGUUCAUACAGGUGUAGAAGGGUGUAACAUGGCGUCACUGGGGAGUGGGCGGGGCUAUGGGGCUUCAUACAGGUGUAGAAGGGUGUAACAUGGCGUCACAGGGGAGUGGGCGGGGCUACAGGGGUUCAUACAGGUGUAGAAGGGUGUAACAUGGCGUCACAGGGGAGUGGGCGGGGCUAUGGGGCUUCAUACAGGUGUAGAAGGGUGUAACAUGGCGUCACUGGGGAGUGGGCGGGGCUAUGGGGCUUCAUACAGGUGUAGAAGGGUGUAACAUGG